GCUUUCAUGUGGCCCAGUUGGUUGAGCAUUGUGCUAAAAACGCAAAGGUUGUGGGUAUGAAUCCCAGAGAAACCA